UUUAUUGGAGAGUUUGAUCCUGGCUCAGGAUGAACGCUGGCGGCGUGCCUAAUACAUGCAAGUCGAGCGAAUGGAUUGAGAGCUUGCUCUCAAGAAGUUAGCGGCGGACGGGUGAGUAACACGUGGAU
rnacentral:rRNA from 1 species